rnacentral:lncRNA from 1 species
UCGGUGUUAAAAACCGAUACCAGCCCGUACCGGUUCCAAAUUUUUUUGGGGCUUUUGGAUGCAUGAAUCAAGCCGAACCAGUGGUACCGAUUCGGUACCAGUCCGAACUGGUAUUGGCGCCCACCGAUACGUCAGUACGGUGGACCUUGAAUACUCCUAACAACCGAAACAUGAGAAGGCUGGUAUCAGACUAUGUACUAAGAUAUGUUAGAUGACUUUAAAUAAACAUGAACAUAAUAAAAACUUGACCCUUGUUGUUGUGGGUCUUAUGGGUUAUAACAGGCUCAAGAGUCAGGAGUAUAAGCAUAUAGCAGACAAUUACAGAAGGCCCCAGGAGUCAGGAGUAUAA